CAGAGGCCCCAAGCGUUAGGCGGAAUCACUGGGCUUAAAGCGUGUGUAGGCGGAUCGUUAAGUGUCUUGUGAAAUCCCACGGCUCACCCGUGGAACGGCUGGGCAUACUGGCGAUCUUGGGCCAACUAGGGGCAGUCGGAACAAGCGGUGGAGCGGUGAAAUGCGUAGAUAUCGCUUGGAACGCCGAAGGUGAAAACAGACUGCUGGGGUUGCGCCGACGCUGAGACACGAAAGCCAGGGGAGCAAACGGGAUUAGAUACCCCGGUAGUCCUGGCCCUAAACGAUGUCCACUAGAUUACGGCGCCUUUGACGGCGUCGUGGUCGAAGCAAAAGUGUUAAGUGGACCGCCUGGGAAGUACGGUCGCAAGGCCA
rnacentral:rRNA from 1 species